rnacentral:rRNA from 1 species
GACGAACGCUGGCGGCAAGCUUAACACAUGCAAGUCGAACGCCGUAGCAAUACGGAGUGGCAGACGGGUGAGUAACACGUGGGAACGUGCCUUUCGGUUCGGAACAACUGAGGGAAACUUCAGCUAAAACCGGAUACGCCCUUCGGGGGAAAGUUUACGCCGAAAGAUCGGCCCGCGUCAGAUUAGGUAGUUGGCGGGGUAAUGGCCCACCAAGCCGAUGAUCUGUAGCUGUUCUGAGAGGAAGAUCAGCCACACUGGGACUGAGACACGGCCCAGACUCCUACGGGAGGCAGCAGUGGGGAAUAUUGGACAAUGGGCGCAAGCCUGAUCCAGCUAUGCCGCGUGGAUGAAGAAGGCCUUCGGGUUGUAAAGUCCUUUCGGCGGGGAAGAUAAUGACGGUACCCGCAGAAGAAGCCCCGGCUAAUUUCGUGCCAGCAGCCGCCGUAACAC